rnacentral:rRNA from 1 species
CCUACGGGCGGCAGCAGUGGGGAAUAUUGCACAAUGGGGGAAACCCUGAUGCAGCGACGCCGCGUGCGUGAAGAAGUCUUUCGGUAUGUAAAGCUGUGUCAGCAGGGAAGAAAAUGACGGUACGUGACCAAGAAGCCACGGCUAACUACGUGCAAGCAGCCGCGGUAAUACGUAGGGGGCAAGCGUUAUCCGGAUUUACUGGGUGUAAUGGGAGCGUAGACGGCAGGGCAAGUCUGGAGUGAAAGGCGGGGGCUCAACCCCCGGACUGCUCUGGAAACUGCCAGGCUGGAGUGCAGGAGAGGUAAGUGGAAUUCCUAGUGUAGCGGGUAAAUGCUUAGAUAUUAGGAGGAACACCAGUGGCGAAGGCGGCUUACUAGACUGUAACUGACGUUGAGGCUCGAAAGCGUGGGGAGCAAACAGGAUUAGAUACCCGGGUAGUC